CCGCCCCGGGCCUCGCCAAAUCUUGGGGCCCCUAAAAGUUUUGUUUAAUAUAUAUAUGUUUAGAUAAUAUAAAAAAGAAUAUGGAGAAAACCACCAAACACACUUGUAGUUGAGAUGGGUGAGACGCAGGAUGCAAGUAGGAGGGUUGUAUGUUCGAAUCUUUCUAUAUGCAUUUUUGGCAUUUUUUAAUUCUCUUAAAUCCAAGCAACUUCUUCGUAAAUGAAUCACCUUUUUUUCCGCAUCUUUUGAUGGAAGCGAUUUUUUUUGUGUCUCGUCAUGGAAGCGGGAAAAUCAAGUCUCUCAAUUCUCCCAAAAGACUUCUUCUGUUUCCCAAAGCGACCUCUCAGAAUCGACUUCAUAAACACUGCUACAAUGCAACAUGCGAGAGUUCAUUGCAAAAGGCUGAAAUUGACAAUUAGAUUCAAUUUCUAAUUGACUUCAGUUGUAGAAGGGCAAGGGUGAAAGCGGAAGGCUGAAAAUAAACCGAUAUUGACACCAGAAUUUCAGCUUCAAAGUUCAAACCUUCAAAGUAUUUCUACACUAUUAGAUAUCUUACUUGAGUAAUUGACAAGUUUGUUUUGAUAUUAGGCUUCAAUAGUUCAACAUAUUUCACAAAGAAAUCCAAGAAAUCAGGUGUAUUCUUUUCUUAAAGUAGUUUUUACUUUAUUGUCAAUCAUAAAAUGUUUUCUAUAAAACACUUAUCCGGUAGUGAAAAACGAAAAAUUGUUAAGGCUUCUUUACAAAAAGAAAAAGGGUCUAUGGUUAAAUUUUUAAAACCAAUGAGUUCUAACGAAGAUAAUAUUAAUUUGAAUGUACAUGAUACUAAUUUAAAUGAAAAUGUGGCUAGUGUUAAUGAAGAAAACAUUACUUUAAAUGAACAUGAUAAUAAUUUGAAUGAAGAAAAUAUUAAUUUCAAUGGACAAGAUAAAAACAUAAAGGAAAAUGUUGCUAGUUUGAAUGAAAAAAAAUUAAUUUAAAUGAACAUGAUACUAAUAUAAAUGUAGAAAAUACUAAUGUAAAUGAAUCUAUAAAUAUUUUUGACCCUAGAAAUUGGGAUACUCUUCAUAUUAAAUCAAGAGAUAUUCUCAUUGAAAAAUGGCCAAUAAGAGAAAUGAAUAUUGUGUUUCCUAAAGAUAAAUUUUCUAGACAUUUUUCUUAUGCAUUUUAUACUAGAAAGUUAAAUAAUGGUUUGUCACGUGAUCGAAAAUGGUUAGCAUACUAUAAAAAUUUAGAUAAAGUUUUUUGUUUUUGUUGUAAAAUAUUUAAAUCUACUAAUCAAAAACGUUUUUUUACAAAUGAAGGAUAUAAUGAUUAGAAGAAUCUUAGCGAGAGACAUAAAGAACAUGAAAAUAGUAAUGAACAUUUUGUUUAUAUGAGUAAUUGGAAUGAAGCAAAACUAAGAUUAGAUAAAAACCCUACAAUUGAUAACGAAUUACAACAAGAAAUGAUAAAAGAAAAAGAACGUUGGAGACAAGUAUUAAGAAAAGCUAGGAGAAAUAUUUUUAUUAUAUCUAGAAAGGCUAGGAGAAAUAUUUUCCUAUAAAUUAGUUGUUUUUGUAAUGUUGUGACCAUAUUUGUGUUUUUUAAUAUUAAUAGUGAAUUUUAUAGUAUUCUAUUUCGAACUAAUUUUUAUUUUAUUUACGUCUAUGGGGGCCCAUUUUUUCUUUUCGCCCUGGGCCUACCAUAGCUUUGGACCGGCCCUGGGAGCUAGCAAUGGAAACCCUAAAUUUCAGGGUUUUGCACCCUAUAUAUAUUGGAUCAUUAGCGCAUCCCACUGUCCUCUAUCACCCCUUGAGAGCCAAAGACCCUAAUUUUCAUGAGUGUGAGCUUGGAGAGUGUUUGGAGCUUUGAGAAGUGAACUUUGUAAAGGAAAACUAUAAAUCAAGAGGCUAGCAUCAAGGAUUUCGUGUGGAGGUAUUAAGCUGUUACCUUAACCUUUUUUCUUCUAGAAUCAUUCAUAUGUGGAGGCUAGGGCUUUCUUUGGUUAUUCGUUAAGGGAUUUUGUUAUGGGAGCUAGAUCUGAAGUUGAAACUUCAGAUCUGAACCUCUUUUGAGUCCUAAGUCCAUAAAGUUUCCAGCUCUUGCAAGGAUGAGACUCUCCUAAGGUGUAAAGCUCCAUUAGAAACUUAGAUUGGUCAUUUAGAGCCCCUAGGGCCUUGUAUGCACGUAAAGUUUGCAACUUUACAUGAUAAACAUGCCCUAGAAGCUUGGAUCUACAAUAUGGAGCCGCUGCAUGGCUUAAAAAGUGUCUGUAUAGAGGAUGGACUGAAGGGACUCGGCGAGUCGCAAGGUCGACUCAACGAGUCGCAUG